AUGGAAGGGUUGGUGCAUUUACGAAUCGACCCAAUUCAUCCUACCUGUAGACAUUCUGGCUCUCGUUUUAUUCCAGCUUUCCCCUUGCAGUUGAAAAAGGAUUUGAAUAGAGGUGGUAUUAUGUUUAUGAAACCUCAAACAUUCAUUUCAGAUAGUGCUUCAGUUCAACCCUUAAAAGCUUCCUCAUUGGGCCACUUCCACAAUGCACUGCCAUCCAAAGAUGUUCUUGGGCUUUGGAGAAGCGCUGAUGCAGUAUGCUUUGAUAUAGAUAGCACAGUAUGCCUAGAUGAGGGUAUUGAUGAACUUGCAGAGUUUUGUGGAGCUAGAAAGGCUGUUGCAGAAUGGACUGCUAAAGCAAUGGGUGGUUCUGUUCCUUUUGAGGAGGCCUUGGCAGCCAUACUUUCUCUAUUCAAACCUUCCUUAUCUCAGGUCCAAGAUUUUCUUGAGAAGAGGCCCCCAAAGUAGGAUCUCUCCUGGCAUAGAUGAGUUGGUCAAGAAGCUGAAGGCUAAAAAUACUAAUGUUUAUUUGAUCUCUGGAGGCUUUCGUCAAAUGAUCAAUUUUGGGGGAGUUUCUAGGGUUUGAUGCUAAUGAGCCUACUUCAAGAAGUGGAGGAAAAGCAACUGCAGUGCAGCAGAUAAGGAAGGUUGGUCUAUUAGCUAUUAGUUUCUUGUAUGGUUUCUAAGAGUUCAUCUAAAGCUGAUUAUGAUGAUAAACCGGGUUCAUGGGUACAAGGCUCUGGUUAUGAUUGGUGAUGGUGCAACUGAUCUUGAGGUAAAUAAUCUCAUUUGAACUUUCAAAUUGUAAAUCAAAUCAUUGUUAUAAGAUUUUGGAAUACCCGGAAAUUUCAGUUCCACAUGUUUUCGUCUCUGACAUCUCUGCAUAAAUGUUACAAGGAAAUAAUUUACUAUGUGUUGUCAAUUCUAAACUCUUAACCUAUCACAAAAACGUGGACUGCCACAGGUCAAGGUACUUUCGGUGGUUUGCCAAUUUAGUUGACAAGAUGUAUGGCUGUAUGACAAAUGACAAAUAAAUGAAGUUCUUGUAGUUUUCAUUUUUUAUUUUUUAUUUUUUUGUAUGCUUCAACAAUUACAUUAUUCCAAUAUAUCUCUUUCAUUAUUUAUUUAUAUGUAGGCUAGAAAGCCAGGUGGUGCCAACUUGUUCAUUUGCUAAUGCGGGUGUUCAACUUCAAGAGACUGUAGCAGCAAAAUUCCCAUCUGCCAUCCUCAUCCAAACCUCAUCAUCAUCAACAUUCCCAUCUGCCAUAUCAAAUCCUUCCACCUCAUCACCGUCCUCAACAUCAAAGAACCCAUCUUCCUCAUCUCACAAUUCUGCAUUCUCAACCCCAUUCUCUUCCUUAUCGUGAAAUCCUCUCUAAACCUCGCAUUUACCUCGUCAACAUUGUUAACCAUUUCUUCAUUGUUUCCUUGUUCAUCCUCCUCAAAAUCUUCUAUUGUCUCUUCUUCA